rnacentral:rRNA from 1 species
CACGUAGGGUGCAAGCGUUGUCCGGAUUCAUUGGGCGUAAAGGGCUAGUAGGCGGCUUAGCAAGUCGGGUGUGAAAACUUCAGGCUCAACCUGGAGCGGCCAUCCGAUACUGCUAUGGCUAGAGUCCGGUAGGGGACCACGGAAUUCCUGGUGUAGCGGUGAAAUGCGCAGAUAUCAGGAGGAACACCGGUGGCGAAGGCGGAUCUCUGGGCCUUACCUGACGCUCAGGCGCGAAAGCUAGGGGAGCGAACAGG